AGCUGAGUGGCGCAGCGGAAGCGCGUAAGUUUGUCUUAAGUCAAACCAUCUCAACAAUUGACUAACAAUUAUAAUAGGCCGGGCUCAUAACCCGGAGGGCACUGGAUCGAAACCAGUCUUAGCUA